AUUGAGGAGUUAAAAUAAUUAAAAUAAUUAAAUCAUGUUAACUUUGCCAUUGUUAUAAGUUAUGUUGAACAUUUAAUGAAUAUUAGUUAAGCAUUAGAAAUAUUUAGUUCUAAUACAAUUAUUGUUAUAUCAAAACGCUUGUUGAUAUUCCAUUUAAAAUAUUACAAAAGGUUAUUUUUAGAAUGGUGAAUAAGCGAUAAUCACUGAUAAUAAAUAUUCACCUGACAAAACAUCACUGUAAACAUAAUAUUACAUGUUCUCUAACCUAGAAUUUGUAAAUUAAUUUAAACUUAAAAUCAUGAUUUCCUAUUUUGUUUGCUUUGUUAAUUUGGGGCGUAAUCAUAUAAGUUUAAGUAUUAUAAUUUUUAAAAUGUGGUAAUACAGCAGUUUUACUUUAGUCUUUAGUUUUACUUUACUGGAAAUCAGUACUAACUUUAUUAAGGUUCUUAUAUAUCAUUAACUUGUACAUUUUUUAAAUUAUAGUAUUCAACUAUUGCUUUUAGUUGUUUUGGCUGUUACAUUUUUAUUCUAAAUACAAAUAGGUGAUUUUUAAAUAAUUAUAGCUGUCAUAUGACAGAGUAUAAAAAUUUGGAUGGAAUUAUCAAUGUAGGAAGUGUUUUAAAUAGUAAUAAAAGUGAUGAUAGUGUAAAUGUGCAAACUAAUUCUAAUAAAUUUUCUUCAUAUUCAUCUCUAACUGAAUCAAAUUUCAAGUAUGGUACUUUGCAGUCUAUUAUGAGCUUGAUGUAUUCAACUAAUGAUGGUCGUUUUAUUUUGACUGAUGCAAAAGUAAACCAUGAACAUUUAUCUAAUGAUGCUCAAAAUACACUUACGAGACCUAAUAAAUUAUUUAUUUAAAGACAAAGCUAGGGGAACUGAUUUUUAAUUUCGGAAAAUUUCUUCAAUUGUCAUUGAAUUACUUCCAAAAAAAACAAGAAAAAGUAUAUUUUAUACUAUCAAGUCAAAAUAAUUCCAUGCAAAAGAAGAAUUAGUGAAACAUUGACAAAAUUGUGUACGCCAGUUUUGGAGCAUAGGUGCUAUUGAAAGUAAACGAAAAAAUAAAAACUUCUCUGAAACAUUACCAAUUUUAACAUUUUCUGAUGAAGCUGAAUCAGCAAAAGUUUGGUUAAGCACAAUUGGGUUUUUUCUAACUUUGAUGAGAUUAAAAAACAAUGGAAAUAAGAAUGGCUGGAAUUCGAGGUUUAAAAUAGCAUUACUGGUCGUCAUUUGUCUAAACAUUUUAAAUCAUGGCCUAUUUUAUGUAGUCCUAAAGGAUAUAAUCUGGUUUUUUGAAGAUUUUUUUAUGAAAUAUCCAGAAACAAAAAACUAUUAACAUAAUUGGCUAAACUUUAUUAAAAAGUGGAUUUUGUUUUCAAAUAACUUAUUGAGCUUACAUAGAAAUUUAGUGAAAGAUAAUUAUGCUAAUGACUUAUUAAAACAACUUGAUACUAUACAACUGAAUGGUAUGAUUUAAUUAAGAAAAUUACUUUGGUUAAUGAUUAAUAAUAACUUUUAGAUUUUGAACUAAAAUAAACCAAUAUUUUUAUUUUUUGUUUAAUUAAGUAGUGCAUGAUAAGUGAGUCACUUUAGUUCAUCUAUUUUAACAUGUAAAAUUUAAAUGUAUGAAUCUCCAAAAUCUAUUUUAAAUUAUUAGUUGUAUAUUUUAGUUGUUAUUACUAUUUUAAUUUUUGAUACAAAUCAUAUUUAAAUUAAUUUUUAUUUAGAUACUAGAACAAGCUACGCAUUGAAACUUCUAUUGAUUCCAUAUCUAGUACUAACUAAAUUUCAAAUGAAAACAAACAAAAAGUCUGGAAAAUCAUCGCUAGUUGAAUGUGUUUCAUCUUUUGUUAUAAAUGUUUCAGUAGGUUAUUAUUAUAAAUAUAUGAAUAGAUGCACACCUUUAAGUUCCUAAUUCAUUAAGUAUUUUAGUUUAUAUAAACUUAAACUUGUGUCACAUUUAUAUGUUGUAUUGAAAUUAUUUAUAUAAAUAUUCAUUUUCAAAAUUUAAAUGAUUCAGAAUUUAAAAUAAUUUACCUGACUUAACUCCAACUAUUAAAAGAGUUUAGGGUACUGGUAAAAUCUACGAGACUCUUAAAUAUAUUUUAUAACUGUUAUAUAGUUGUAUAUUUAAAAAUGUAUAUCUUAUUGUUUAUUAAUAAUAUACAGUAUGACAUUAACUUAAUUUUAUUGUAAUUAAUUUGUGAAUGUAUUUUGUACUUACAAUUUUAACAAAGUAAAUGA